rnacentral:lncRNA from 1 species
GGCUGGGUCUAGUAUGGUGCCCAAUAUAUAUAUAUAUAUAGAAGCAAAUGAAGGUUGACUGGGUUCCAUCUAGUCUCAACACUGGACAUGGUAGCAGUAGUUACCGAAUUUCUUGGUCUGCAGAAGGAGCAGUUCUUUGUUGGAUGUCGCAUAGUUCUUUCUGGCAAAGGGACACAACUAGCAAUUCAGGGUGGCUCAUCAUAAUCCCAGACAGCCACAGGACAAGCUAGUGACAUUCCAGAAGAUCAUCACAUUAGAAGCAGAUUGAUAUCAGAGGUUCGUUACACUAAUAUCUUCUUAAAGAUUUACUUGCUCUUUUAUUAGUGUAGACUGAGAUUUGCAAUUUACCAAUAAAAAUUAUGUCACAAACACAAAUAUAUCAACAUUAUUGUACCGCAGGGGUGCCAGCUGCUUCAAAGUAUCUGCAAGCCACAGAGUACAUCAUAUGAGGCAAAUUCAGCAUUAGAUUUAAACAUACAGAAAAUGUUCGCUAGCUAAGUUAGUACUUGUGGGGAAGUCUCGAACUAAUUAGGACUUGUGGUGUUCAUGGAGCAAAAGGGAUGAUUGUCUUUGACAGCAAAAAAGGAAUUUACAGUUGUUGUAUAUCAAUAGAGAAAAAAAAUAAAAAACUUAUCUAAAUGAAAAUGAAAAGAGACAAAUAAAAAACUUCUUACUAGCUAAAUAAUUAUAACAGAGGAUGAGAAGAAUCACCAUUGCAUGAUGAUUACACAUUUGAAUUAUAAUUGACAUUCUUUAUAUAAUAUCUUGCAAUAAUUUGCUUCAACAAUACCUAAAGAACCUCGUCGCCGCAGGGCAAACCAUGAAAAAUUGGAUACCAAAAUGUUAAACAUCAAAAUAAAAAUAUAUGAAGAGCUUAGUGAUAUCAAUAUUAGGGAAUAAAUUAAAAGAACAACAAUACAAAGCGAAGAAAGAAAAUAUCAACACCUCCAAAUUUUUUUGCAUGCCUUAACAUUAUUCUUUUCAUAACCUUUUCGUGUCAACAAAAUCAUGGUUCAUUUGUAUGCAUGAUUGAUAAUUUCUCUUUCCUAGUUGUGUACUAACAUACUCUCAAUGAGAAAGAAUCUUAAAUUAGGUAAAAUUUUGUAGCAUAGAUUAUCUCAUUCAUACUAAAAUAUUAUUUCAAAAUAUAUAGUAAAGGAAGUGAUCAUCAAUUACUCAUUUGCCUAAUAGGAACAUGAAAUCAAUUACAAGCGAAAACAUUUCUUCUUCUUUUAAGAAUAUAUGCAAUUGAUUUUUUUUUUUUUAAAGGACAUAUAUCUUCAACAAAUACAAUGUAAGAGGUUGCAUUAAGGAAAAGAAAACCUAACAUUCAUCCACAUACCUGAGCGCUCACUUCAUAACUCCAACCAAACUUAGGCAAAAGCAAAAUGAAAAAUGAAAGAGCACUUGACAAAGGCCAGUGUGAUAAAAUUAGGAAGUCAUCAUACAAGCUUCCUAU